UUCCGUUUGCACUUUUAUUGUUAAUCGUUAACCUUCAAAGGAAACCCUUCCCGACCCUGAUAUACAGCUUUCCUCACCGACUCGCAUUAAAUACGCCUCUUUUUCACACAAAUACAAAGUCCAGAAACACAGUUGUUAUGUUCCGUUGGUUCAUACGGGGAGAAAAAAAUGAGUUACAUGGUCUUUUGUUGGCAAUUGCAGUGAUAAUACAAAGUUUGGAAUGGGAAAAGUACAACGCACUCAAACAGAGAAUCAAGUAAGUCACGUGUGUCCAGAUUUUGAAAUCAGUUAGAUGAAAUGCAAAGCGGAAACUUUAACUCAGAGCACAGGAUAGGCGCUUAAAGAGUUCAAGUACAGCAAAUGAACUCACAAAAAUGAUCAUUUUCUGCACAUUCAGCUUUAUGGUUAUGCAGUUUUUACUUACUGUACGUCUUUACUCUGGGCAAACAUAUAGUAUAUUAUUCACAUAGUAUUCACAUGACAGUAUACAUCCAUAUAUACAUGUUUUUCCCUCUCUCGAGUGUCCAGGCACUUCCUUCAGCAAUCCAGAGGACAUCAGAUCACUGCACUGUUGCUACCCCAAACGUCUUUCGGGAGCCUGCUGAUGUUGCUGCGUCGUCUGAUCCCUCGCACAUUCUGGCACUCCCACCCAAAUCUGACUGUGAGCUGCCAACCCGCAGCAGAAAUUGCCUGUAGCUGCCAUUUUUCAGCUUCAAGAAGCUGCCUCUCCUUGUUUAUCAGGGCACGUACUCCAGAGUUCCCAUCAGCUCUGUGCGCGCACAAAACCUGCACUUAAAGGAGCUUCAGGAGAUACGGAGGAGGGGAGCGUGUUUUAAAGGGAAGAAAUGUGGGGAGGGUGAGGGUAUAAUUUUGCGAUCUUUCGAAAAAAAAAAAUAAAAAAGUUUUAUUUUUUUGAGUGAAGUUUCCUCUUUAGAGGUGAUUCCAAAUCUGAUUCCGAUGCAGAGCUCCUGUGAUGUUCAGGCACCGAGCAGUUGAAAAAGAAAUGAACAGAAAAGUUUCUCCCACGUUUGCUUCUCUCAUAUUUAUAAUAAAUAGUUUUCAAAAACUAAAUUAUGGGAUUUUUCUUAGGUUAAUGCCCCUUAAAAUGACAUAUUUAUUGACUUACAGAACACCUUAACUGUCCAAACAAGGCCCCCAUCUCCAACAAUCAAAUCUACAAGGCUCAGCUUUGAUGCUUUACGGCGUACCCCAGGGCCUGGGACCAUAAAGAAGCCGGACAGUUUGAAAACCUGCCUCCACAUAUCAGCACAGCAAGAGAAGUUGUGUUUUUUUCACAUCCUGCUGCUCACUUUUUCUUCCCCACAGGGUUACUGAAUUCACUCUGGAGCGAGAUCAGCAGCUGGCGCCGUCCACGCUGUACGUUCGUAGUCCCACGUCGAGAUGAAGCGGCGGAUCAAAGCAAAAAAGGAUUCAAGUCUGUGGGAUUGGCACUGUGACAGUGAUGAGACAGGCAGUCCCGCUGGUGGCCCGCUGCCGCAGCGCACCUGUUGCAGAUGUGUUCGUUCAAAGACGGGUCCAAAGGUCCAAGCAUUUAAGAAGAAGGGAGGUCAGGAGUGGCCUCAAAUCAGAUCUCCAGCGCUCAGGAUCCAGCUGCUGUCGAAAACGUUUAGCUGCUAUCUGCCUUCAAAGCAGUCCAAGUACUCCAGGAUGAGGUCAUAGCAAAAUCGAUACUGCUCCUGUAGACACAAGGGAAACGUCAAAACCUGGACAUUUGUGCCUCAAAAACAUUUCAUUUGUUUAGAGGCUCUUUCUUACCAGAGACUCCACCAUGUUGGGUUUGCAGUUCCGCAGAGUUUUGACAGCAUAGAAGAUGUCCACCAUGUUCUGGUACUGGAUCAUCUCCAGGAGGAUGUUACAGGCACAGAAGGUCCCACUCCGACCACCACCAUUGCUGCAGACAAACAGGAGGUUUUAUUUUAAUAGGACAAGAAGUGUGGAAGCGAUCGGCUGUCAACCCUAGUUUCUGAACAGAUAUAUGAAGUGGAGUCAGGUGAUGAAGUCUUUAAAGUCCGUCUUAUACUGUCUCAAGCCCAUCCCCCCGGACUUCCAGAGGAGCGGUUUGUCCCGCCACCCCCAUGCCAAGUACAGUAGUUCUUCUCACUUUCUUCGCUCCCAUGUUCUCUCCUUGCUCACUCAGUCCUUGUUUUGUAAGUUUUGUGUCAUGAAUUGUGUUUUUCUACUUCCAAAAUCCAACAUCGUCCACGGUAAAAAUGGACGACAUUGUUAUCUGCUGUGUAAACGCACAUUUUUAUUUUGAAAGUACAAGGGAAGUUUUUAUUUUAAAGCCUGAUCCUGUUUCUUCGUUUUUUUUGUUGCAAAAUUGGCACGCUGACGUACUGGAAAUAGAACUACUUGUUGUAGAGGGAUGGAUGUCAGAAGAAGAAAUAAAGGAGGUGAUGUCAA